rnacentral:rRNA from 1 species
CCUGCCAGUAGUCAUAUGCUUGUCUUAAAGAUUAAGCCAUGCAUGUCUAAGUUUAAAUGUCUGCACAGUGAGACUGCGAAUGGCUCAUUAAAUCAGUUAUAGUUUAUUUGGUGGUAGGCGAGAGCUACAUGGAUAACCGUAGUAAUUCUAGAGCUAAUACAUGCGAAAGGCCCCCGCGAGGGGGCAGCGCUUAUUAGGUACGAAACCGACCCGGGCAGCAAUGCCCGGAACGACGAGUCUGGAUAAGCAUGCGGAUCGCACGGCCCAGAGCCGGCGACGCUCCAUUCAAAUUUCUGCCCUAUCAACUUUCGAUGGUAGUGUAGCGGACUACCAUGGUCGUAACGGGUGACGGGGAAUCGGGGUUCGGUUCCGGAGAGGGAGCCUGAGAGAUGGCUACCACUUCCAAGGAAGGCAGCAGGCGCGCAAAUUACCCAAUCCCGACACGGGGAGGUAGUGACAAUAAAUAACAACGCAGGUCCCAAAAGGGUCUUGCGAUUGGAAUGAGCACGAUACAAACCCACUAGCGAGAAACGAUUGGAGGACAAGUCUGGUGCCAGCACCCGCGGUAAUUCCAGCUCCAAUAGCGUAUAUUAAAGUUGUUGCAGUUAAAAAGCUCGUAGUCGGACCUCGGGGGAUCGACGCGCCCGGUCUUCCCUCAAAGGGAGUGCACUGGCCGUCAUCGCCCUCCUUCCGGGCCGCGACCGGCUGCCCUUAACUGAGCGGCCGACCGCGCCGGAUCGUUUACUUUGAAAAAAUUAGGGUGUUCAAGGCAGGCCUUCAGGCUCGCAUACAUUAGCAUGGGAUAACGGAACAGGGCAUCGCGCCCUCGUUUCGCUGGUUUCGGGGCGCGUAGCAAUGAUUAAUAGAGAUGGUUGGGGGUGUUCAUAUUUAAUUGUCAGAGGUGAAAUUCUUGGAUUUCUGAAAGAUGAACUCCUGCGAAAGCAUCCACCAAGGGCGUCCUCAUUGAUCAAGAACGAAAGUUAGGGGAUCGAAGACGAUCAGAUACCGUCGUAGUCCUAACCUUAAACGAUGCCGACCGGGGAUCGGGCGACGUUACUCCGACGACUCGCCCGGCACCCUCAGGGAAACCAAAAGUCUUUGGGUUCCGGGGGGAGUAUGGUCGCAAGGCUGAAACUUAAAGGAAUUGACGGAAGGGCACCACCAGGAGUGGAGCCUGCGGCUUAAUUUGA